rnacentral:sRNA from 1 species
UUUCAGCCUCAACUUUGCCCCGGCAACACGUAACUCUCCUCCACUGCGUAAUGUUUUUGUCCUUUUGUCAGCAAAUCAGCUGGGCACAGGCCGGGCCUCUGCCUCUCUAAUAAGGCCACACAGCCGUGAUGACUAUGCCUUUCCCAUAAGCUGUGACGUGGAAAGCCUCUUACUCGAGCCCCGUGAAUGGAAACUUACACCUGCUCCCAUGUGGGGAAUUAGGAACGUUCUGGUAGCCGGUGCCUCUUGGACAGCUGCCAGUUAGCAGACACUCGGAUGCAGAGCCCUGGCGCGCAGGAGAUGCCAGUCGAAUGGUGAAAUGGGACCAGCCUGGGACCAAGGCACCCCGAAGUAGAAUCCCCAAGGAGUCACGAGACCCUGAUGCAGACAGUCCGUCUGACUGAGUGGGAUCCAGUUGAUGGUAUCUGAUCCCUGCCUCUCGAGAGUCAAGAUGGUGAGCGACCGGCUAUGGAGCCCCUUUCUUGUAAUAGUUAAACGCCAAUUCGCUGCUCUGCCCUAUAAAUAUCCACAGGUUCCUAUGUUGAAUCAUGGGUGAAUCUUAUUAUUUGUUUGUUUGUUUGUUUGUUUGUUUGUUUGUUUGCAUCCCAAAUGCUGCCCGGUCCUGGUCGCUCCCUCACAGAGUCCCUCCUCCCAUCCCUCCUCCCUUUCUCCUCUGUAGCCUCCACACCUCCACUGGAAUACCUAAUAGUCUCGGAGGGUGAACAAACAGGCCAGCAGGCUGAGGCAGAGUCUGGCUGCACAGGAGAGAAACCUUGGUCAGCUCCUGGAGAAGCCUUGAUCUUAGCUUGGAAUGUUAAGUGGGUGACUUGGGAAGCAGCAGGGUCUUCCCUUCCACCCACUUUACACAGAGCUCACUGCGGGCACUAAAGGACCUCAGACACCCGAGGAGCAUGACAAGGAGAGGAGGCCCUUGCACACCACCGCCAUGCAUCCCAACAGCGAGAGGCCUUUCUACCUCCUGAGCCCCAAGUAUCUUCCAUCACAAGAAGUAUGUUGUGCCAGGAUUGAAGGGCUCCAGAACCGGACAUUUAUCAGAAAAGACAGGGAAAGCCACGCUCUACCCAUUCACAGAUGGAUGGGUCAAUGCCACAAAGGGUCGGUGGCCCUGGUGUGGGUUCAGCAGGCUAAACUGUCAAGGCUCCCACAGCCACGGCUGCCUCUACUGCAUUACCCAACCAUGGUACCAGCCCAGAACCUCAUCUCCUCCGGCCUCCAAGUUGCUUCUUUGCGAAGUGACGUUAGGCCUUGCCCUUUUGGAAGUGGUUCUGCAAAUAGGACCUCAUUUUGUCUGGUGACCGUAUCAGUCAAGCCCGUGGGGCAGACUGGCCCCUCCCCUCCCCAGCUCCUACCCCACCCCUGUCAGAACACCAUGAUGGGCUGUCAAAGCUGAACAGGAAGUAGAGCUGUUACUGGCUCCUACCAGACUGAGAUAGAACCUCUUAGCAACUAAAGAGGGCUUCCAGGAUAGGGGUGUUGAGGGGAUGGGGGGUGGGGAUACCUGCAGUGGUUACUGACCAGACACCUCUGCCACUGAUUCCCUCUUGACUCUGGCAAGACAGGACAGCAGUUACUGAGCGUGUUGGCGUGUGUAUGUGUGAAACUUGGUAGCUCAACUGGCUGGGGUCCCUCUGCGAGAUCCAAACAACUGAUCCCAGAGUUCCUCUCCUUCUUCAUCGCUGUUAAUCAGGGGCCAGAGGACCAACCUGGUGUUGCUACUCAGGGACAAAUAGCUCCUUACUGUGGCCUGAAGACUCCUCUCAUGGCCCAAGUGGGUGGCUGUUCCCAUGCUGUCAGGAGGAGCAUGAGAGAGGGAAGCAUGAGACAGGUCCUUAUGCCUAACCUUGAGGUCUAACCACUCCCUAGGAGAAUCAUCACAGUGGACUUUCUCUUCUUUAUCAAGGAAAGAGCUGCCAGUGUCCCUGCCCCCAUCUCCAUGGCCCGCCUCUCUUAGUUAGGGUUUUACUGCUGUGAACAGACACGUGACCAAGGCAACUCUUAUAGUG